GUUCCCUUCAAGUCUCAAGGACAGUGAUUCCUUUAAAUUACUGGUCUGAGAAGUGGAACUGGACCUGGUAACGAAUGUGAGAAGGAACCCUGGGACGCCAAGACCUCAUUUCUAGAGAAUAAGAUUGAACGAUGUCUCCACACCUCAGAUGUUUUUCUGAAGACAACUAGCAUUGCUGUGCCGUAUGUAUAGAUGCAUAACCUUGAACUGAGUGUGUUGGCCUGUGCAGCAGGCUUCCCUACUGAGCUGUAAACUCCUAACUCCAUUAUGGAAGGAGCCUGAGUAAUAAAAACUGCUUGUCAUGCAAAUUGCA
rnacentral:lncRNA from 1 species